rnacentral:rRNA from 1 species
CUACGGGUUGCACCAGUGGGGAAUAUUGCACAAUGGGGGAAACCCUGAUGCAGCGACGCCGCGUGAAGGAUGACGGAUUUCGGUCUGUAAACUUCUAUCAGCAGGGAAGAUAGUGACUGUACCUGACUAAGAAGCCCCGGCUAACUACGUGCCAGCAGCCGCGGUAAUACGUAGGGGGCAAGCGUUAUCCGGAAUUACUGGGUGUAAAGGGUGCGUAGGCGGCGACUUAAGUUAGAUGUGAAAGCCCGGGGCUCAACCUCGGGACUGCAUUUAAAACUGGGUUGCUAGAAUACAGGAGAGGUAAGUGGAAUUCCUAGUGUAGCGGUGAAAUGCGUAGAUAUUAGGAGGAACACCAGUGGCGAAGGCGACUUACUGGACUGUUAUUGACGCUGAGGCACGAAAGCGUGGGGAGCGAACAGGAUUAGAUACCCUGGUAGUC